AAAGCGCGGAAAAAAGCGCGGAGCGGCGGGGCGGGGGGCGGGGGCGGGGCGGGGGGGGGGCGGGAGGAGGUGGAAUUGCAUUUCUGCCGCUAAAGCGUUCGCGGAGACUUCAAGGUAUAAUCUAUCCCAGAUCCUUUCCCAGAGAGAAACUUGGCGAUCACGUUUCCACAUGAUGCUCACGUUUGGUGCUCUUCAAUUAUCCCUCCCCACAAAGAUAGGUGGCGUGUGUUUCAGGGUCUCUCCUCUCGCUCCUACAGAAAAGAAAAAGAAAAAAAUGUCAUUAGAAGAGGCGUAACACGUCAGUCCGUCCCCAGGAGCUGCAUCUCCCUUCACCUUUUCUCCUCCACUUCGCGGCUUCUUCAUGCUUUUGCUUCUCACCAUUUCUGGCCAAAACUACAAACAAGACUUCGCAGAGCCUGCGUGCUGCUGAAGCAGGGAGCCGGAGCCCAUGCGAACUGCCAUCUGAGCCACUCUUAUCAAUGAAGCAGCAGAUCAUGGCGGAUGGCCCCAGGUGUAAGAGGCGA
rnacentral:lncRNA from 1 species